rnacentral:rRNA from 1 species
AUACGGAGGGGGCUAGCGUUGUUCGGAAUUACUGGGCGUAAAGCGUACGUAGGCGGACUGAUCAGUUGGGGGUGAAAUCCCAGGGCUUAACCCUGGAACUGCCUUCAAUACUGUCAGUCUUGAGUUUGAGAGAGGUGAGUGGAAUUCCUAGUGUAGAGGUGAAAUUCAUAGAUAUUAGGAGGAACACCAGUGGCGAAGGCGGCUCACUGGCCCAUUACUGACGCUGAGGUACGAAAGCGUGGGGAGCAAACAGAAUUAGAUACCCUAGUAGUCC